UCAUUUCUCUCGUCUCACAGGAUUAUAUUUGGAGUGGUGAGAGUUGAAAAACAUGUAAAAAAAUCGAAUAUUUUUUUAGAGUUAGGUGUAACAGCGCAGAAUCCAGGUGAACCUGUUUUCCCAGCAACACAUUGGAGGAAUUGCUAGAAAUUGGUAGAAGUCUCUCAUCUCACCAUUCUAUCUUUAUCAGCUGAUGUGAAUAAAGUUUUUUUUUAUUUAUCCUCCGGAAAUGGAAGCGUAUCAAUGGAAAAAUCGUGUAAAAUUCAUCACUAAGUACAUGUUUGGUAAGUUAAAAAACUAAAAGAUGCAAAUAAAAUUUAUUAUUUUUUUAGAUUUAAUUGUUAUAAACCAUGCAUUGUCUCGUA